rnacentral:rRNA from 2 species
GGACGGGUGAGUAACACGUGGGCAACCUGCCUGUAAGACUGGGAUAACUUCGGGGAAACCGAAGCUAAUACCGGAUAGGAUCUUCUCCUUCAUGGGAGAUGAUUGAAAGAUGGUUUCGGCUAUCACUUACAGAUGGGCCCGCGGUGCAUUAGCUAGUUGGUGAGGUAACGGCUCACCAAGGCAACGAUGCAUAGCCGACCUGAGAGGGUGAUCGGCCACACUGGGACUGAGACACGGCCCAGACUCCUACGGGAGGCAGCAGUAGGGAAUCUUCCGCAAUGGACGAAAGUCUGACGGAGCAACGCCGCGUGAGUGAUGAAGGCUUUCGGGUCGUAAAACUCUGUUGUUAGGGAAGAACAAGUACGAGAGUAACUGCUUGUACCUUGACGGUACCUAACCAGAAAGCCACGGCUAACUACGUGCCAGCAGCCGCGGUAAUACGUAGGUGGCAAGCGUUAUCCGGAAUUAUUGGGCGUAAAGCGCGCGCAGGCGGUUUCUUAAGUCUGAUGUGAAAGCCCACGGCUCAACCGUGGAGGGUCAUUGGAAACUGGGGAACUUGAGUGCGGAAGAGAAACACGGAAUCAGCACAGGUAGCCGCA